rfam:Aedes albopictus isolate Foshan contig97373, whole genome shotgun sequence.
GGCUCGGUAGCUUAGUUGGAAAAGUACUUGUCUAGCGUAUAAGGGUCGUGUGUUCAAAUCUCACCUGAGCUG